GCGGCAACAGCUCAAAUUUGAAAUCUGGCCCCCCGCGGGCCCGAGUUGUACUUUGGAGAGGACGCUUCUGGCGCGGCGCCGUCCGAGUUCCCUGGAACGGGACGCCGGAGAGGGUGAGAGCCCCGUACGGGCGGCCGCCUAGCCUCUGCGAAGCUCCUUCGACGAGUCGAGUAGUUUGGGAAUGCUGCUCAAAAUGGGAGGUAAAUUUCUUCUAAAGCUAAAUACCGGCCAGAGACCGAUAGCGCACAAGUAGAGUGAUCGAAAGAUGAAAAGCACUUUGAAAAGAGGGUCAAACAGUACGUGAAAUUGUUGAAAGGGAAGCGCCUGUGGCCAGACUUGCGCCCCGCGGACCACCCGGCGCCUCGCGCGCCGGGGCACGCCAGCGGGGCGCAGGCCAGCAUCGGCUCUCUCGGGGGGACAAAGGCCGCGGGAACGUAGCGCCCUCGCGGCGUAUUAUAGCCCGCGGCGCCAUGCCCCCGGGGGGGCCGAGGACCGCGCUCCGGCAAGGAUGCUGGCGUAAUGGCCACCGGCGACCCGUCUUGAAACACGGACCAAGGAGUCAAGCAUUGGGGCGAGUGUCUGGGUGGCAAGCCCGCACGCGGAAUGAAAGUGAACGCAGGUGGGAGCUUCGGCGCACCACCGACCGAUCCUGAUGUCCUCGGAUGGAUUUGAGUAGGAGCCCCGCCGCUUGGACCCGAAAGAUGGUGAACUAUGCCUGUAUAGGGUGAAGCCAGAGGAAA
rnacentral:rRNA from 1 species